GCUUGAGCACGUAGGUGGGUUUGUAAGUCAGGUGUGAAAGCCUUCUGUUCAACGGGAGAAUUGCAUCUGAAACUACGAAUCUUGAGUGUAGGAGGGGAGAAUGGAACUUCUGGUGGAGCGGUGAAAUGCGUAGAUAUCAGAAGGAACGCCGGCGGCGAAAGCGAUUCUCUGGCCUAUUACUGACACUCAGUGUGCGAAAGCUAGGGGAGCAAACGGGAUUAGAUACCCCGGUAGUCCUAGCCGUAAACGAUGGGCACUAAGUAGUGGGAAUUACCGAUGUUCUCUCUGCCGUAGCUAACGCAUUAAGUGCCCCGCCUGGGGAGUACGGCCGCAAGGCUAAAACUCAAAAGAAUUGACGGGGGCUCGCACAAGCGGUGGAGCAUGUGGCUUAAUUCGAUGCAACGCGAAGAACCUUACCGGGGCUUGACAUGGUAGAAGCAGGAACCCGAAAGGGUAACGAACGGUAUCCAGUCCGUGACUAUCACAGGUGUUGCAUGGCUGUCGUCAGCUCGUGUCGUGAGACGUUGGGUUAAGUCCCCUAACGAGCGAAACCCUUGUUUUUAGUUACCAGCGGGUUAUGCCGGGUACUCUAGAAAGACUGCCGUCGUCAAGACGGAGGAAGGUGGGGAUGACGUCAAGUCAUCAUGGCCCUUAUGCCCCGGGCUGCACACGUGCUACAAUGGUCGGUACAAACGGAAGCGGAGCCGAGAGGUGAAGCGAAUCCAAGC
rnacentral:rRNA from 1 species